rnacentral:rRNA from 1 species
CCUACGGGUCGCAGCAGUGAGGAAUAUUGGUCAAUGGGCGCGAGCCUGAACCCGCCAAGUAGCGUGAAGGAUGACUGCCCUACGGGUUGUAAACUUCUUUUAUAAAGGAAUAAAGUGAGGCACGUGUGCCUUUUUGUAUGUACUUUAUUAAUCAGGAUCGGCUAACUCCGUGCCAUCAGCCUCGGUAAUACGGAGGAUCCGAGCGUUAUCCGGAUUUAGUGGGUUUAAAGGGAGCGUAGAUGGGUUGUUAAGUCAGUUGUGAAAGUGUGCGGCUCAACCGUAAAAUUGCAAUUGAUACUGGCAGCAUUGAGUACAGUUGAGGUAGGCGGAAUUCGUGGUGUAGCGGUGAAAUGCUUAGAUAUCACGAAGAACUCCGAUUGCGAAGGCAGCCUACUAAACUGCCACUGACAUUGAUGCUCGAAAGUGUGGGUAUCAAACAGGAUUAGAUACCCGAGUAGUC